rnacentral:rRNA from 1 species
AGUGGCGCACGGGUGCGUAACGCGUGGGAACCUGCCCUUAGGUUCGGAAUAACUCAGAGAAAUUUGAGCUAAUACCGGAUAAUGUCUUCGGACCAAAGAUUUAUCGCCUUUGGAUGGGCCCGCGUUGGAUUAGCUAGUUGGUGGGGUAAAGGCCUACCAAGGCGACGAUCCAUAGCUGGUCUGAGAGGAUGAUCAGCCACACUGGGACUGAGACACGGCCCAGACUCCUACGGGAGGCAGCAGUGGGGAAUAUUGGACAAUGGGCGAAAGCCUGAUCCAGCAAUGCCGCGUGAGUGAUGAAGGCCUUAGGGUUGUAAAGCUCUUUUACUGGGGAUGAUAAUGACAGUACCCAGAGAAUAAGCUCCGGCUAACUCCGUGCCAGCCGCCGCGGUAA